UGACUAGCAUGCAUGAGGAUGCAGGUUUAAUCCCUGGCCUCAAUCAGUGGGUUAAGGAUCUGGCGUUGCCGUAAGCUGUGGUGUAGGUUGCAGACACGGCUCAGAUCCCGUAUGGCUGUGGCUGUGGCAUAGGCUCCAAUUUUACCCCUAGCCUGGGAACCUCCAUAUGCCUCGGCUACGGCCCUAAAAAAGCCAAAAAAAAAAAAAGGCAAUAAAAUAAUCAAAAAUAAAAGGGUAAAAAUAAUCCCAAUCAAAAGAAAACACACAAUUCUAUGCAAUAAAAUACUGACAAGUAACUUAAUGAAAUUUUCAUUUAAAUCAUUUUUUUCCUAACCAAUAAAAGUUUUUUUGUAUCACUCCAUUUAGUUGAAACAAAGUUUACUUAGAUGGAGUUCCCCUCUUGGUGCAGUGGUUAACGAAUCCAACUAGGAACCAUGAGGUUGAGGGUUCGCUCUCUGGUCUCACUCAGUGGGUUAAGGAUGUGGCGUUGCCCUGAGCUGUGGUGCAUGCAGGUCACAGACGCGGCUUGGAUCUGGCGUUGCUGUGGCUCUGGCACAGGCCAGCAGCUACAGCCUGGGAACCUCCACAUGGCAAAUAAGAGAUAAAUCAAUCAUUAAGCAUUCUUUAAAUAUUCUAGGUGAACUGAAACUUUCCAUUCAGACCAUCUAAUAUUCGCUAAGAAGCUAUGUACCAGACACUAAACUGGUAAGUAAGAGGAAAAAACCUUGCUCUCAAAGAGCAGAGGCUCAGAGCAAGACCUCUACUUAGAGGCCAGACAAAAUCCACUUGUUCAACCAAAGGAACAGUUCUUUACUGUGAAAACAUGGGAACAAUUUAGUCAGCCUAGAGUUCCCCAACGAACAAAGUUUUCAAAGACAAAAUUUACACCUGCAUUGUAAACAUAACAAAGAACUCCUAGCUUAAAAAGGAUGACUUCCAGAGAUUUAUAAAAUGGCAAAGACAGGAGUUCCUAUUGUGGCUCAAUGGAAACGAAUCUGACUAGGAACCAUGAAACGUAUUUCUUUUAGGAACCAUGAGGUUGCGGGUUAAUUCCUGGCCUUGCUCAGUGGGUUAAGGGUCCGGCGUUGCCAUGAGCUGUGGUGUAGGUCGCAGACGCAGCUUGGCUUGUGCGUUGCUAUGGCUGUGGUAUAGGCCAGUGGCUAACAGCUCCAAUUAGACCCCUAGCCUGGGAACCUCCAUAUGCUGCAGGUGCGGCCCUCAAAAAGAUAAAAAUAAAAUAAAAUAAAAACAAAAUGGCAAAGACAAAGUAUUUUAGCCUACCUCAUAGGUAUACUGUGAGAAAUAAAAAAGUGCUUAUCUACAUUUUCCCAUCCCCACUUUUCAUCAAUGAAAUUGGAUUAUACCAAAAAGAAAUAUGUUUCCAAGGACAACAACAAAAUCAUUUAUAGCGCACUUGCUUUCUUCACGGAAAGAACUAUUUCAACUCCUAGAAGAGUAUCUUCACCAAGACAGAGAACAAUUCAUAUCUUAUCAGAAUAAAAAAAGAAAUAGCUUACUAGGACGACUGCCUCCAGGGACUCCUGAGUAUAUACCACAGACACAGCAUUUGGUCAAACAAGUUUAAUCCAUUUAAUUAAUAAUUUAGGGUGUAAAUAUCAGUAAAUCAAAAAGUGUUAAAGGGAGGAAGUGUUUCCUGAGGUAGCCAGGGGAACUUUCACAAGGUAAUUUUUUUUUUUAAAGUUAAUUAAGGGAGUUCCUGUUGUGGAGUAGCAGAAAUGAAUUUGAUUAGGAACAAUGAGGUUGUGGGUUCAAUCCCUGGCCUCACUCAGUGGGUUAAGGAUCUGGCGUUGCUGUGAAAUGUGAUGUAGGUUGCAGAAGCAGCUUGGAUCUGGCGUUGCUGUGGCUCCAGUGUAGGCCAGUAGCUACAGCUUCAGUUCGACCUCUAGCCUGGGAACCUCCAUAUGCCAUGGGUACAGCCCUAAAACGACAAAAAAAAAAAAAAAAGAAAAAAAAGAAAGAAAUUUAAGUUAGGUAUUUCAUAAGUCUUCUGAUAAAAAGCACCCAAUCUGAAUUAAUAAUUUAUCAGGAGAUCCCGUCAUGGCCCAGCGGAAAUGAAUCCGACUGGGAACCAUGAGGUUGUGAGUUUGAUCCCUGGCCUCGAUCAGUGGGUUAAGGAUCCAGUGUUGCCGUGAGCUGUGGUGUAGGUCACAGACAAGGCUCAGAUCUGGCAUUGCUGUGGCUGUGGUGUACGCUGGCAGCUGUAGCUCCGAUUGGACCCCUAGCCUGGGAACCUCCAUUUGCCGUGUGUGUGGCCCUGGGGAAAAAUAAAGCAAAAAAACCCACAAACAAUUUAUCAGAUUUUAAAUUUGAAAACAUAGCUAAAGAACCCCUUUAUUGGAGAAUCAGUAACUUCAACAACUUUCACAGAUAAAUCCAUGAAAAUACUUAUUUUUUAAAGGAACAAGAUAGCUGAGAAAGAUGCUCCCAUAAAAGAGAAAUCAAGACUGAAUUCACAGCCUGAAAAUCUUGAGCAAUUCAGUUCAUUCCUCAGCAAAGGGAAGUUAGCAUUAGCUUACACGCUAGGUAUUCGUGAAAAAUAGAGAUUCACAGAAAAAGCUGUGAAAAUUUAGUUAUCAGUUCCUUAUAUGUUAACUGUCCAUUAAUACAAAAGCGAUGGUGAGAGGUUAUAAAGAAUAAAAAGAGGUUAUAAAGAAUAAAAAGACAUCUGGAGUUCCCUUGUAGCACAGAGGAAUAAGGAUCAGCAUUGUCACUGCAGCAGCUAGGGUCACUGCUAUGGCACAGGUUCAAACCCUGGCCCAGAAAGGUCCACAGGCCAGGGGCGGGGCCAAAAAAGAGGUAAGAAAUUCAUAAACUGCCAAUGUUACAAAAUUCAUUUUUCUAUUUAGUUUUCCUAUACUAAAAGUCAGUUUUCAUUUUAGGAGAGAACUAGUGUGGUGGUAACAGAGAAGUUGUACAGAAUUGCAUUCUCCAAUGGAAGUCUGAGAAAUCAAAGUUCAGGUAAUUCAUCACAGGGACAAACCAUUUGUAAAUACACAUGAGUUUAAUUGUAUACUAAACAGAUCUUGCUUUUCAAUGGUCAGAUAUUUCAGUCACUUAGAUGUAUGAUGAUUUCAUUAACACCAGAUAUAAAUUACUCUCAUCGUCUUCACCAUAAAACAUACACAGUUAAUUUGAACAAGGCAGGUAUGUUUACAUCAAACUAGAUGUUCAAUAAACACUCUUCCCACUAUUUAAGAAGCUUGGGGGGUAGGGGGAACUCCAUCAUAAAGAAUUCCAACUAGGAACCCAAAUUUUUGCUUUAAUAGCAUUUAAUUUAAAUGCUACUAUACCAAUUCUACUGAGAGUUAUAUGCCAAACAUUUCAUUUGCAUAUGAACUUUAUAUACACACCUAUUUAAUCCUUAUAAGACACAGAUACUAUUAAAACCUCUAUUUUAUAGAUAAAGUAAACUUCGGAGUUCCCUGGCAGUGCAGUGGGUUAAGAAUCUGGCAUUCUCACUGCUGUGGCACAGGUUCAUCCCUGGCUCACGAACUUCUGCAUGCUGCAGAUGAGGCUAAAGAGAGAAAGAAAGCUUAAGGUCCUCCACCAAGGUCACACAGCCAAAAGUGACAGAACCAGGAUUGGAAUCCUACAAGUCUGACUCCAAAAUGCCACAUACUUAACUACUCCAAUAUUUUCUGAAAGACCUCCAGCAAGCCAGAAUUUCCAAAGGCAGAAGUUCUUGUAGAGGCAGAAAUGGAUCUAACUAGGAACCAUGAGAUUGUGAGUUCAAUCCCUGGCCUGGCUCAGUGGAUUAAGGAUCUGGUGUUGCCAUGAGCUGUGAUGUAGGUCUUAGACACGACUUGGAUCCUACAUUGCUGCGGCUCUGGUGUAGGCCAGCAGAUGUAGCUCUGAUUCGACCCCAGCAUGGGAACUUCCAUAUACUGGGGGUGCAGCCCUAAAAAGACAACAGAAAAAAAAAAAAAAAAAAAGCAGCAGCAGCAGCAGCUUCUAAGGCAUAAAGUUAUGCUAAUGAAGUAUUCCAAGCAGUAUAUUCAUUUAUUCAAUCAUUUAUUUAGACCAAUAUAAACUCAUAAACAUUGAUUUUAUAUUAUGGGUUAUAAUCCAGCGCUGUUUUAUUUUGCUGCACAAAUGGUUCAAUUUUGGCCCCUUUGCUCCUUUGACACACCCUCAUCAAUGUAGAGUUGCGGUGGUGGUAGUGGUAGUUGAAGCACUUCCUUACUUUAUGGCACUACUAGAUGCUCCAAACUCAUCUUGUGUAUUUCCUACCCCAGGCCUAUAAUCAACCACUUCUCUAAAAACUCUAGCUCCUUUUACUAGAUAACGGUAUGAGAAAAUAAGAAGUGGAUACUACGUGUGCUCCUGAGUUUCUUUUAACCUUCUCCGCUGAUAGAGCUCAGAAAUAUACCUGGUGUAUAUAAACCCAUGUAUGUACUAUAAUAUGCAAUCAUCUGUAUCUGUAUUAAGUUAAACAUAGGUUCAUACUGAUAUCUCCAACUCCAACCUAUCAAGGAUCCUUCUAGCCCCUUCCCCUUGCUUAUCUAUAAAUUCUCAACCUAAGAGCAAGAAGCUUGUCUCCCAUUAUCCAUUUACUUAAUUGUUCAACUGCAGUAUAUAUAUACUUCAGCAUCAGAAUUAACUGGUAGCCCCAAAAAACACAUUUUUAUUAGACUACAGUGCAUACAUGCUGUUUCUCGUCUUAGAUUCCACUCAUUUCCAAGAUUACAUAGGUCAGCACUCCCCUCCCCCCCACUUUAGUAAGGUUAUCUCCCACAUUUGUAACUUAACUAGAUUCUCUUAUCACAAUUUGCGUUCCUUCCUGGGAACCCCCGAAGUUUAUUCUUUGUGUUAUAAAGCCCUAUAAUGGAGUUCUCUUGCAGCACAGUGGGUUAAGGAUCUGGUGGUGUCAGUGCAACAGCCUGGGUUACUGCUGAAGUGUAUGUUCGAUCCCUAGCCCUGGAA
ensembl:lncRNA